AGACAUGCCUAUCAUGCCAUCGAGGGCAGCUUUCGCUGCGACUUACUACGGAUCCACACCGGAGGGAACGGGAUGGUCCGGGAACCAGGCAUCGCCGGGUGGGCGCGAGGUCACACCGGUUCAUGAAGGUGGUCGGUCUCCUGGGCGUUCUGCUGGUGUCUCUCCGUCGACUACUCCUGGGACUACUCCCGGUGCCUCUCCGUCGACUUCUCCUGGGCGUGCUACCGGUCCUUCUCCAGGUGGUUCUUCUGCAGCUUCUACCGGAGCGAAACCCCGGGCUGCUCGUUUCGCCAACGAUGUGGGCGGACACACCCCGCCCGGGUCCUUCCUCCGCUAGUCAGCUUAGAACUAGGGUUUGCUUGCUACUACUAUGUAUUUGGAUGACAUGGCACUCUCCGCUCUCCGCUUGUAUGCUAUUAUGUCACCAUGUAUGGUAUUAUGUGGAUUAUAUGAUAUUUAUGUGAAUUAUGAUGAA